rnacentral:rRNA from 1 species
UACGUAGGGUCCGAGCGUUGUCCGGAAUUAUUGGGCGUAAAGGGCUCGUAGGCGGUUCGUCACGUCGGGAGUGAAAACUCGGGGCUUAACCCCGAGCCUGCUUCCGAUACGGGCAGACUAGAGGUAGGCAGGGGAGAGCGGAACUCCUGGUGUAGCGGUGGAAUGCGCAGAUAUCAGGAGGAACACCGGUGGCGAAGGCGGUUCUCUGGGCAUUACCUGACGCUGAGGAGCGAAAGCAUGGGGAGCGAACAGG